UUCCCACGUCGGGACUCGAACCCGGGGUUUUUCGGUGAGAGCCAGGUAUCCCAGCCACUAGACUACGAGGCA